AUUACCCAUUCUCACAUGCUGUAUGUACCCUUCUCUCCUUGCUAACUUCAUUGGAAGAUUCAAAACAAAACAUGGCUUCAUGCUUCAUGCUUCAUACUCUCACCAACACUCGUGAUUAUGUGAGAGAAUACAAAGAAAUGCAAACAAAUUCUUGUCUAACGAAAAUGGUACGAUCACAUCUGCAGCUGCCACUUGACCAUAAGGGCAGAGCCCACUGUGGAACAUAUUUGCUAGUGGCACAAGAAUUAUAAUAUCGCCACCACUAUGAUUCAUAUUUAUAUCAGAAAUCAAUAUUACUUUUGUUCUUUAUAUUAAAAUUGUUCUGAUUUUCUUUGUUUUUGGCAGAAUUCUUGUGGUUUUCUAUUAUGUCUUUUAUCUAUCUUAUUAGUGAAUUUCUCUUUCA